UCAACCAUCAAGCCUGGCUUGUUAUUGGGUUCUUUAUCUGUAAAAUGAUAGACCCGAAAGAUAAUGGCGGUGUCAAAAUUUGACCCCAGGUGCAGCGAGCUUUAAGCAUACACUGUGGUGGUCUUUUUGGCCUGGCCUAGUUAAUUUUCUUAACUCUAA
rnacentral:misc_RNA from 1 species